rnacentral:rRNA from 1 species
AUUGAACGCUGGCGGCAUGCCUUACACAUGCAAGUCGAACGGCAGCGGGCCUUCGGGUGCCGGCGAGUGGCGAACGGGUGAGUAAUGCAUCGGAACGUGCCAUUGAGUGGGGGAUAACGUAGCGAAAGUUGCGCUAAUACCGCAUAUUCUGUGAGCAGGAAAGCAGGGGGACCGCAAGGCCUUGCGCUCUUUGAGCGGCCGAUGUCAGAUUAGCUAGUUGGUGAGGUAAAGGCUUACCAAGGCGACGAUCUGUAGCGGGUCUGAGAGGAUGAUCCGCCACACUGGAACUGAGACACGGUCCAGACUCCUACGGGAGGCAGCAGUGGGGAAUUUUGGACAAUGGGGGGCAACCCUGAUCCAGCCAUGCCGCGUGAGUGAAGAAGGCCUCGGUUGUU